GCGCACGGGUGAGUAACACGUAUCCAACCUGCCCUUUACUCGGGGAUAGCCUUUCGAAAGAAAGAUUAAUACCCGAUGGGAUAAUUAUUCCGCAUGGUUUGAUUAUUAAAGGAUUCCGGUAAAGGAUGGGGAUGCGUUCCAUUAGGUUGUUGGUGAGGUAACGGCUCACCAAGCCUUCGAUGGAUAGGGGUUCUGAGAGGAAGGUCCCCCACAUUGGAACUGAGACACGGUCCAAACUCCUACGGGAGGCAGCAGUGAGGAAUAUUGGUCAAUGGGCGCUAGCCUGAACCAGCCAAGUAGCGUGAAGGAUGAAGGCUCUAUGGGUCGUAAACUUCUUUUAUAUAAGAAUAAAGUGCAGUAUGUAUACUGUUUUGUAUGUAUUAUAUGAAUAAGGAUCGGCUAACUCCGUGCCAGCAGCCGCGGUAAUACGGAGGAUCCGAGCGUUAUCCGGAUUUAUUGGGUUUAAAGGGAGCGUAGGUGGACUGGUAAGUCAGUUGUGAAAGUUUGCGGCUCAACCGUAAAAUUGCAGUUGAUACUGUCAGUCUUGAGUACAGUAGAGGUGGGCGGAAUUCGUGGUGUAGCGGUGAAAUGCUUAGAUAUCAC
rnacentral:rRNA from 1 species